rnacentral:rRNA from 1 species
GUCGAGGAUCUUUUGCAAUGCACGAAAGUGUGACAAAGCGACGCUGCGUGGAGGAUGAAGGCCUUCGGGUCGUAAACUCCUGUCGUCCGGGAACAAUGACGGGUGGGGUAAUAUCCCAUCCGAGUGAGAGUACCGGAAGAGGAAGCCACGGCAAACUCUGUGCCAGCAGCCGCGGUAAUACAGAGGUGGCGAGCGUUGUUCGGAUUUACUGGGCGUAAAGGGUGCGUAGGCGGUUUCGUGUGUCGAACGUGAAAUCCCACUGCUCAACGGUGGAAUUGCAUUCGAAACUACGGAGCUAGAGUACAGGCAGGGAGAGCGGAAUUCCUGGUGUAGCGGUGAAAUGCGUUGAGAUCAGGAAGAACACCGGUGGCGAAGGCGGCUCUCUGGUAUGUUACUGACGCUGAGGCACGAAAGCUGGGGGAGCAAACAGGAUUAGAAACCCGUGUAGUCC